UCCUCUCUUGUUCAAAAUAGCUGCUACAUCUACAGUACCCGACCCACAUUAAUUUAAAUUCCAAGAGACAACAUGUCUCUUGACAAUUAAUAUUUUUAAAAUUAUUUUUAAUAUCAAUACAUUAAAAUAAUCUGAAAAAAUUAAAAAAAUAAAACAAUUUAAUUAUUUUUUAAAAACACUUUUAAAGCUAAAACAAACAAAUUAUCUAAUAAAAACCAUGAAUUAUGCAUGACAUGCAUUUAUUAUCUUAUUUGUUUUUACAUAGAAAUAUUAAAUCUAUUGACUCCUAUCCAUGUAAGGAACGGACCAAACUCCUAUCCAUUUUGCUUUCUUUUUGACAAAUCUAUUGACUUUCAUAUAUAAAUCACUACUGAAUAUUUCUCAUUGAUAUUUAUUUCCUUGGUUUAAUUUCAUGAUCUUGGUGCUUUUCAGUCACCCGACUAGGUAUGUGGUACCAUAAUUUUCUGCAAUAAGAGUGAUGUUCUUGAAGCAUGUCUAACAAAUUUCUGUGUGUUAACUCUUAGGUUUUUCAUAGAUGAGAUGCGGAGGAAAAAAUGUGGUCGAAGGCCUAAGUUCAUUCUUUUUAUUAGAUAGAGAAUUUCUCACUUCUAAAUAUACUGGCUGAGUUUCUUAUGAUCUGAUUUUUCUAACCCGCUGCUGCUGUCCUCAAAAGUCGUUAUGACUGACUGAAACACACCUGCUCUAUCCUCAUCAUCUGCAACAUCUUCUUCCCCAUCACCAUAGGUGUCCACGUCAUCGGCCAAAUCAACCAAGUCUUCCAUGGCGUAUGAAAUAGAGCCAGCAAUUGGGUAAUUAAUGUAAAUGGUCCAUCUUCUCGAGGUUCACAAUCCGUGGGUCCAAUCAUUGAUGCUGAACACGAAUAAAGACUUGACCAUAAAUUUUAAAGAUUCUUUUUGACU